AGAGUGAAUUGAGCGAUCGCUCUCCGUCCUCUGGCGGAGGGAGGAAAGUCCGGACUCCACAGGACAGGGUGGCCGCUAACGGCGGCCCCGAGCAAUCGGGGGAAAGUACCACAGAAAACAUACCGCCCGCCGCUUCGGCGGCGAGUAAGGUUGAAAAGGCGAGGUAAGAGCUCACCGGUCCAUCAGUGAUGGUGGACGCAUGGCAAACCCCACCCGGAGCAAGACCCAAUAGGAGAGUUGGGUGGUCCGCCCAAAACUCUCGGGUAAGGUCGCUGGACGCCGCGAGCAAUCGCGGCGCAAGAUGAAUGAUCGCUGUGGCUCGGUUGCGAGCCAUCACAGAAUCCGGCUUAUCGAUUCACUCUAGCC
rnacentral:RNase_P_RNA from 1 species